rnacentral:rRNA from 1 species
AUACUAAGAACUUUCCAGAGAUGGAUUGGUGCCUUCGGGAACUUAGAUACAGGUGCUGCAUGGCUGUCGUCAGCUCGUGUCGUGAGAUUGUUGGGUUAAGUCCCGNAACGAGCGCAACCUUUUCCUAUUUGCCAGCGGGUCAUGCCGGGAACUUUAAGGAUACUGCCAGUGACAAACUGGAGGAAGGCGGGGACGACGUCAAGUCAUCAUGGCCCUUACGGCCAGGGCUACACACGUGCUACAAUGGUCGGUACAAAGGGUUGCUACCUCGCGAGAGGAUGCUAAUCUCAAAAAGCCGAUCGUAGUCCGGAUCGCAGUCUGCAACUCGACUGCGUGAAGUCGGAAUCGCUAGUAAUCGCGGAUCAGAAUGCCGCGGUGAAUACGUUCCCGGGCCUUGUACACACCGCCCGUCACACCAUGGGAGUUUGUUGCACCAGAAGUAGGUAGUCUAACCGCAAGGAGGACGCUUACCACGGUGUGGCCGAUGACUGGGGUGAAGUCGUAACAAGGUAAGCGUAGAUGA